rnacentral:ncRNA from 1 species
CGCUUAGAGUUAACGAACGAAUAGAAUUUUUUACGAUCACUGCGAAAGUUACUACUACAUUGUGAAAGGUAAUGAUUAUAACACUGACUAUUAACGCCAAGGAACAGAGAGCGAGCGGAGGAGUAUAGAGCUAAAGGCCGACGUGGAGCCCGACUUCUGGUACUUUUUAUAGAGCCGGGAUUUAUUAUUUUUUAAGAAUGACAAAUACUUGGAGAACCAGGGAGGCUUGGACGAUACAGGUACAGUGAUAUCUGGAACAAAAGUAUUAAGGGCGGAGUAAAUAGAACUAUAAAACGAGUUAACAGUUGCAGAUAGAAGUAGAAGUGUUUGGCGUAAGCCUUCAUGGAGCUGCCAUUGGCACAGAUCUUGGUGGUAGUAGCAAAUAAUCGAAUGAGACCUUGGAGGACUGAAGUGGAGAAGGGUUUCGUGUGAACAGUGGUUGAUCACGAGUUAGUCGGUCCUAAGUUCAAGGCGAAAGCCGAAAAUUUUCAAGUAAAAAAUCAGUGAGUAAUAUUGUCAAAUCUUCUAUGAUUUUUAAAUACUUGAAUAAUUUUGAACGAAAGGGAAUACGGUUCCAAUUCCGUAACCUGUUGAGUAUCCGUUUGUUAUUAAAUAUGGGCCUCGUGUUCAUCCUGGCAACAGGAACGACCAUAAGGAAGCCAUCGAGAGAUAUCGGAAGAGUUUUCUUUUUUCUUUUAUAGCCGUACUACCAUGGAAGUCUUUCGCAGAGAGAUAUGGUAGAUGGGCUAGAAGAGCAUACAUACAUGUAUGACAUGUACAUGACAUUUACAUGAUAUUUUCUCCUCGGACCUUGAAAAUUUAUGGUGGGGACACGCAAACUUCUCAACAGGCCGUACUAAUAUCCGCAGCUGGUCUCCAAGGUGAAGAGUCUCUAGUCGAUAGAAUAAUGUAGGUAAGGGAAGUCGGCAGAUUAGAUCCGUAACUUCGGGAUAAGGAUUGGUUUUGAAGAUUGAGAUAGUCGGGCUUGAUUGGGAAACAAUAACAUUGUUUAUGUGCUCGUUCUGGGUAAAUAGAGUAUCUAUCAUUUAUAGUAGUUACUUGUUCCCCGGAUAGUUUACGUUACGUAGCCAAUUGUGGAACUUUCUUGCUACAAUUUUUUAAGAAUACUCAUUGGGUUAAACCCAGUUAGUUUCUUAUUAAUUAUAACGGAUUAUCAAUUUAACCAAUUCAAUUUCAGAAACUGGGCACGGACUUGGGGGAGUCCCACUGGUCUAAUUAAAAACAAAGCAUUUGUGAUGGCCCCUAGCGGGUGGUUGACCACAUUGUGAUUUCUGCCCAGUGCCUUCUGAAAUGUCAAAGUGAAAGAAAUUCCAAGUAAAGCGCCCGGUCUAACGGGCGGGGAGUAGCCUAUGACUUCUCUUUAAGGAAAGAUUAUGCGAUCUGAAAUAAUAGCCGAAAAAGGGGAAUUUAU